CACUCGCUGACUGAUGUGUACGCGCGAUGAUGACAUCCCGCUGACACGGCUCCGCCACCUCCCCCGCACAAUGCAAAUGAGCUUUCAUCAGCGAGUGACAGGAUAAAACAGGUGUGCUCAGACAGGGAGACACCAGCAGCUCUGUGCCAGCAGAGAGUUUACACAGGUGAACAGGAGGAGACGCAUUCCAGCUCAGCAGCUUCAGCAUGAACUCCAGCGCUAUUCUGCUCUUCCUGGGACUGAUGGGGACAGCGUUCAGCAGCCCGGUUUGUCCUCAAAACUGCAACCAUGCUCAGCACUAUCACAGGCAGUACUUCACUCAUGUGUCCGACCUCCAUAAUUCUUCAGUCGCGCCCUGGAAACUACAAAACAACUCUAAAGCAGGCCGAGAACCACAGACGAUCAAGGAGGCCAAAUGCAUGCCUUGCAGUGUGGAGAACAUGGUGGCCAGACCAAUCUUCGUACAGAUUCAGGUGUACGAGAGCAUAGGCACGCAUGGGUAUUGCAGCUGUCCGUUCGAUCUGGCGGUCGGAUGCACCUGUGUCGCGAAGGAAUGACGGCCGGACGCCAGGCUGUGCUGAAUGUGCCGUAACAACCUGCUUUUAGUUGCUGGCUGUGCCUAUAUUGAAUGUAUUUAUUUGUAACUAGGAAAUACUGUUUAUCAGGUUAUAUAUGAGUGUGCAUGUAAAAUGCGACCAAGUCAUCGUUUUUUAAACUUACCUAUAUGUCAAUGACAUGUUUGUUUACAUGAGAUAAAACUUCAUGAAUUUUGUGGCAGUGUUGCUCGUUUCAAAGCAACCUGAAUCCUUUUUUCUAGAAAAAUUCAGUGUACUGAUCUGUUCAAUGUGCAUCUGAAUAUCACAUUUUAUUCUUUACAUGCAUCAUGUAAUAUGCAGUAACUUGAUAAUAUCAUAGUCAUUUCAGAAUAUUUCUGGUCAGUACCAAUGUGAAAAUGUUUGUUUUGUAUUAUCAAAAUGCUGGAUUUUUAUGUACCUCACUGAGCUUCAGUAAAACUAUUAAAGCCUC
ensembl:lncRNA